ACGCUGGCGGCAGGCCUAACACAUGCAAGUCGAGCGGAUGAAGGGAGCUUGCUCCCUGAUUUAGCGGCGGACGGGUGAGUAAUGCCUAGGAAUCUGCCUGGUAGUGGGGGAUAACGUUCCGAAAGGAACGCUAAUACCGCAUACGUCCUACGGGAGAAAGCAGGGGACCUUCGGGCCUUGCGCUAUCAGAUGAGCCUAGGUCGGAUUAGCUAGUUGGUGAGGUAAUGGCUCACCAAGGCGACGAUCCGUAACUGGUCUGAGAGGAUGAUCAGUCACACUGGAACUGAGACACGGUCCAGACUCCUACGGGAGGCAGCAGUGGGGAAUAUUGGACAAUGGGCGAAAGCCUGAUCCAGCCAUGCCGCGUGUGUGAAGAAGGUCUUCGGAUUGUAAAGCACUUUAAGUUGGGAGGAAGGGCAGUAAGUUAAUACCUUGCUGUUUUGACGUUACCGACAGAAUAAGCACCGGCUAACUUCGUGCCAGCAGCCGCGGUGAUACGAAGGGUGCAAGCGUUAAUCGGAAUUACUGGGCGUAAAGCGCGCGUAGGUGGUUCGUUAAGUUGGAUGUGAAAGCCCCGGGCUCAACCUGGGAACUGCAUCCAAAACUGGCGAGCUAGAGUACGGUAGAGGGUGGUGGAAUUUCCUGUGUAGCGGUGAAAUGCGUAGAUAUAGGAAGGAACACCAGUGGCGAAGGCGACCACCUGGACUGAUACUGACACUGAGGUGCGAAAGCGUGGG
rnacentral:rRNA from 1 species